rnacentral:rRNA from 1 species
AUGAAAGGAACACAAGCCAUUAGUGUGACUCUUCUCAUGUCAUUUCUUGUUCUAGCGACCAGAGGAAAAGAUGUGAGAUAUAGAAGGCAAGAGGAAGACAGUACCCAGAUUCUCACUUAUCAAGGAGUUAAUAAAACCAUUCAGAUGGAAGACGGAGACGUCUAUGACUGCAUCGAUGUGUACAAGCAACCGGGUUUAAACCACCCAUUGUUGAAAGACCAUAAAAUCCAGAUGAAACCAAGUUCUAUCCCUGUUUGGAUGGAUACCGAAUCAUUUCCUUCGGAUUCUUUUUCACAAGCGGAACCAUCUAUCAUCGAGUGCCCAACAGGAAUAGUUCCAAUACUGCGUAGUAACGGAAGUACCACCAUAGCAACACACAAUAUUGAUGGGCUCAAAAACGAUAUGCAAUGGGAGAGGGCAGGACUCAUAUACAUGGGUGAUUUAUAUGGGGCGCGUGCUUCAUUAAAUAUUUGGGAGCCAAAGGUUAAAGGUAGCCAGGAUUCCAGUGCAAUUUGGAUAAGUAUUGAAAAUAGAAGAGGACAACAGCCUGAUCGGGUGAGCGCCGGUCUUCGGGUAGCUCCAGCAUUGAGUGGUGAUGCUUUUGUUAGACUUCAUGUUGCUUGGUUCGAUGGCUAUUCAAAGAAGGGCUGCAUUGACCACAGCUGUCCUGGAUAUGUGCAAGUCCACCCCCACAUUGGUCCUGGAUCAAGAAUACAACCAUCCUCUGUAUAUGGUGGAGACCAGAGAGUAGCAGACAUUCAAAUAUUCAAGGAGCCGAAAUCAAACUAUUGGUGGGUGAGUUACAAUAACAUAGCAAUUGGAUAUUGGCCGGGUGGGCUGUUCGAAUUCAUUAGAUACAGAGGCGAUUUGGCGUUUUGGGGCGGGCAGGUUGAGGGGCCGACAGCGUCAUCGAAGUCUCCGCAGAUGGGCAGCGGGCAUUUUGCUUCGGAAGGAUUUCGAAAAGCAGCGUUCAUAAGAAAGAUCGAGAUUGCAGACGACACGGUCAAGUUUGCGACCCCAAAUAGAUACAUGGUGGAGAUUGGGUCGAGCGAUCAGUCCAAAUACACCACGGGUGGAUUUGACAUUAGCAAGGAUUUCGGGAUGACUAUUUAUUAUGGUGGACCAGGUUCCAUGAGGUCCUGA